UGGGGAAACUGUUGUCUCUUUCUUGGGACCCCUUUCCCUUCUUCUAGAUCUUCUGAGAGCCCUGGAGUGUGUACACAUUCCAAAUGAGAGGUCCAUUGACUUUUGCUUCAAGUUAAGAUGUUUUGUAUCUUUACCAUAAAGUGAUUGAUGAUUAGAAGCUGAUGAGAAUUGAUAACACAAGAAGACAAUGCAUUUAGAAGGGGUUUUGAAAACAAACAGCAACAGAAAAAGAGCUGCCAAGGACAUGAGU